rnacentral:rRNA from 1 species
GGGACGAUAAUGACGGUACCUGGAAGAAGCCACGGCUAACUACGUGCCAGCAGCCGCGGUAAUACGUAGGUGGCGAGCGUUGUCCGGAUUUACUGGGCGUAAAGAGCGCGCAGGCGGUCGUACAGGUCGAAUGUGAAAGCCCCCGGCUUAACUGGGGAGGGUCAUUCGAUACUGCUCGACUCGAAGGCAGGAGAGGGAAGCGGAAUUCCCGGUGUAGUGGUGAAAUGCGUAGAUAUCGGGAGGAACACCAGUGGCGAAGGCGGCUUCCUGGCCUGUUCUUGACGCUGAGGCGCGAAAGCUAGGGUAGCAAACGGGAUUAGAUACCCCGGUAGUCCUAGCCGUAAACGAUGGACACUAGGUGUUGGUGGUAUCAACCCCGCCAGUGCCGUAGCUAACGCAUUAAGUGUCACGCCUGGGGAGUACGGCCGCAAGGCUAAAACUCAAAGGAAUUGACGGGGGCCCGCACAAGCAGCGGAGCGUGGGGUUCAAUUCGACGCAACGCGAAGAACCUUACCAGCUUUUGAC